GACGAACGCUGGCGGCGUGCUUAACACAUGCAAGUCGAACGGUAAGGCCCUUCGCGUUCCCCGAGUGGCGUACGGGUGAGUAACUCGGUAGUAACCGGCCCUUCACUCUGUGAUAACAGGUGGAAACGGCUGCUAAUACCGUAUAUUCAGCUCCUGUCGCAUGGCGGGGGGUGGAAUGGUUUGGUGGUGGAGGCUGGGCUCGCGUCGUAUCAGCUGGUUGGUGGUGUGAUGGCCUACAAAGGCGUAGACUGGUAGCCCGCAUGAGAGCGCAACCGGCCACCAUGGGACUGCGAUAGGCACCAGAAUGGUACGGGAGGCAGCAGUGGGGAAUCUUGCGCAAUGGGCGGGAGUGUGAUGCAGCAACGCCGCGUGCGGGAUGCCGGGUUUCGGGUUGUAAACCGCUUUCAGAGGGGACGAAGAGGAAGUGACGGUACCUGAAGAAGAAGCAACGGCUAACUACGUG
rnacentral:rRNA from 1 species